UCCACAGCCACGAUGACUCCGUGUCUGAACUUGAAGGCCAGGGUGGUGGUCCCGUGGUCCAUUUCAAUGCGCACGCCUCCAUCACUGCUGCAGGACUCCAGAAACCCUGAAGGCUGCAAAGAUGUCGAUGUUGCUGCCUGAGCCGAGGUCGCUCAUGAUGCCUGCGUGGAUCGCCGCUCGCACCAGCUCCUUCGCCGGCUCCAGCUGAGAGGACAGAAAUCAGACGGACAUCAAGAACACAGAAGCACUAAUCUGCUGUAGCAGCUCCCAGUUUAUAUCCACGUCCUCUAUUUGUUAGCAAAAAACAUUUAACCAGAAGUUUGUAUAAUGGGGAGAUUUACUUGAUUUGUGUACCUCUAAGUCAGGUUUGAAGCCGUCCUCCAAAAUCCCCAGAGCAGCCAGAUCUCCAGAUCCUGCAGGAGGACAGAGUAAAGUCAGAUAAACGGACCUGAUGAAGUCUGAGAGAAUCAAAUGCAGCAGAAACAUCACGUACCCAUUGACAGUAUGUUCACGGCCAUGACGACACGAGGGUUCCUCCCACUGUUCAGAGAGAAGAUGGUGAGGUUGGAGUAGAGGAGGUCAGUGGUCUUCUCUGUAUCUGCUGCUGUACCUGCUCCACAGCAGCUGGACACACAGAGGGAGGAGCAGGUGAGACAAACAGAACAUUUAAAUUCACACAUUAAAGACAGAGAAAAGCAGAGACAUUACUCCUCUGAAUAAAAACAGACUGAUUUCUCUCAGUAUCCCACAGUGCACUGCUUCUCCCAUACUACUGUCAUCAGUCACAUGCUCAUGUGUUUGCAUGGCCUGUGGAUUAUUUAGUUAUCAGUCCACUGAAAAGCAUCUGCAUCCAUACUGUAAAGGUAUUUCACCUCUAUGAAACUUACUACAUAUUUGGAGCGAUGUAAUGGAUCUUGGCACACAUCUUGUCGGCCACCACUUCACCGGAGGUGGCUCUGGUAUCGGCUCCCAGCACCACCCCAUCCUGCAGGAACACGUGAACUGGGACAUUAGCAACACUCAGGUUAUUUUUAUUGGUCAGAAAAGCUUUCAGAGAAAGCUCCAUCCUUAUUCGGCCUUUGGGCAAGGCAUUAAAAUCAGAGCGUGUCCAGUGGAGCUGCAGAGAGACCCACAGUCUGUGAUAGCAAAUGAAAGUGGGAAUGUAAAUGAAUGAUAAUUCCU